GAUGAACGCUGGCGGCGUGCCUAAUACAUGCAAGUCGAGCGAACAGAUGAGGAGCUUGCUCCUCUGACGUUAGCGGCGGACGGGUGAGUAACGCGUGGAUAACCUACCUAUAAGACUGGGAUAACUUCGGGAAACCGGAGCUAAUACCGGAUAAUAUAUUGAACCGCAUGGUUCAAUAGUGAAAGACGGUUUUGCUGUCACUUAUAGAUGGAUCCGCGCCGCAUUAGCUAGUUGGUAAGGUAACGGCUUACCAAGGCAACGAUGCGUAGCCGACCUGAGAGGGUGAUCGGCCACACUGGAACUGAGACACGGUCCAGACUCCUACGGGAGGCAGCAGUAGGGAAUCUUCCGCAAUGGGCGAAAGCCUGACGGAGCAACGCCGCGUGAGUGAUGAAGGUCUUCGGAUCGUAAAACUCUGUUAUUAGGGAAGAACAAAUGUGUAAGUAACUAUGCACGUCUUGACGGUACCUAAUCAGAAAGCCACGGCUAACUACGU
rnacentral:rRNA from 1 species